UACGGAGGGGGCUAGCGUUGUUCGGAAUUACUGGGCGUAAAGCGCGCGUAGGCGGCUUUGUAAGUUAGAGGUGAAAGCCCGGGGCUUAACUCCGGAAUUGCCUUUAAGACUGCAUCGCUAGAAUCGUGGAGAGGUGAGUGGAAUUCCGAGUGUAGAGGUGAAAUUCGUAGAUAUUCGGAAGAACACCAAUGGCGAAGGCGACUCACUGGACACGUAUUGACGCUGAGGUGCGAAAGCGUGGGGAGCAAACAGG
rnacentral:rRNA from 1 species